AUUGAACGCUGGCGGCAUGCCUUACACAUGCAAGUCGAACGGUAACGGGCCUUCGGGUGCCGACGAGUGGCGAACGGGUGAGUAAUACAUCGGAACGUGCCCGAUCGUGGGGGAUAACGAGGCGAAAGCUUUGCUAAUACCGCAUACGAUCUACGGAUGACAGCAGGGGACCGCAAGGCCUUGCGCGGACGGAGCGGCCGAUGGCAGAUUAGGUAGUUGGUGGGAUAAAAGCUUACCAAGCCGACGAUCUGUAGCUGGUCUGAGAGGAUGAUCAGCCACACUGGGACUGAGACACGGUCCAGACUCCUACGGGAGGCAGCAGUGGGGAAUUUUGGACAAUGGGCGCAAGCCUGAUCCAGCCAUGCCGCGUGCAGGAUGAAGGCCUUCGGGUUGUAAACUGCUUUUGUACGGAACGAAAAGCCUUCUUUUAAUACAGGAGGGUCAUGACGGUACCGUAAGAAUAAGCACCGGCUAACUACGUG
rnacentral:rRNA from 1 species